rnacentral:lncRNA from 1 species
AAAAUGUUCCAGAGAAGGAUGUGAUAAAAAUCAAAAUGCUGAAUGACACUGGAGAAGAGAAUAGUGGCCCUUUGCCCUGCUCCCUUUGCUCUGGUUCAUGACAUUUCCUUUACCAGAAAUGUACAUUCCUAAAUUCUGAUGUGCCGUGGCUGAGAUACAAGGUCUUAUUGAAGAAUAGAACCUUCAUUGGAAUCAAUUCCCUGCUACAGGCAUCCUGGCUGGCAGCACUCAAUCUCCUUCCUUGGAGUAAGACCACCUCAGUACCUGGCUUCUGUCUCCAUCCAGCCUGCUUGCUGGCUGUCUCCUUUCCAUCCCUUUUCUGCAUCCUAAAUAUUCCAGAGGCAAAGCCUGUGAGGGUUUCUGUGCCUCGUAUGGAUUAAGUAGGAUGCAAAAUCACCAGCUUUGGAUAACUUUAGAGCUAUGCUAAUUCCUGCUUGGCAAGCCACUGGCGGAGUGGGUAGAGGAAUCCUCAAUUUUAAAUCAUUAUGGAGGAAGCUGUUCCAAAUGCUACAGUGCUACUGUGCUCAUGAGGUAAUCAAGUGGUUUUAAAGCUACCCUUGCGACUGAAGCAUGGUGUGUCUGGGGUUUCCUCAUGCACAACUGAUCCCUGGGUUCGAGCUUGCCUUUCUAGAGUUGUUGAUCCCUUAUAUUAUUUUAGAUUCUGCCAAGGGGCAAAUUUGAAGAAGGAUCUCCAAAAUAUUAGUAGAGAGUGAGUACAAACUUGGCUCAAAGCUGCCUUUGUGCCCUGAAGCUAGAACAGCACUGAGUGCUGCUGGGCUAUAGCCAAUGAUCUGGUCUUCAAAUCAGUACUGAUAUAUAAUAUAACUAACAGUCUCAAUAGCAGAGCUGCACAUUUUGUUAAGCUGUAUAGUGAUUUUGUGAUAAAAAGCUUUUCCUUCAAAAAUUGUGAUUGGGACACUAAGCUUAUUUAUAUUUGUAUUCUAUACAACACAGGAGUCUCUGUCACCAGAACAGAAUAGCUUUUACAUGUGUUUGCUGCAUGAUGAAAUGAUAGGCAAACAGCCAAAGAAAAUUGUGAAGAUCAG